rnacentral:pre_miRNA from 2 species
AUGUGCCUGGCUCCCUGUAUGCCACUCAUCCAGAGCAACACCUUUGCGAUGAGGUUGCCUGCGAUGGAUGGCGUGCACGGAUCCAAGCAUAU